rnacentral:rRNA from 1 species
GACGAACGCUGGUGGCGUGCCUAAUACAUGCAAGUCGAACGAAGUGGCGAACGGGUGAGUAACGCGUAAUCAACCUGCCCUUCAGAGGGGGACAACAGUCGGAAACGACUGCUAAUACCGCACACUGAAGGAGGGGCGUGCGUCUGAUUAGCUAUUUGGAGGGGCAACGGCCCACCAAGGCGAUGAGCAGUAACCGGUCUGAGGAGAUGAACGGCCACAUUGGAGCUGGGACACGGCCCAGACUCCUACGGGAGCGAGCAGUGGGGAAUCUACCGCCAUGGGCGAGAGUCUGGCGGUGCAACGCCGCGUGAAUGAUGACGGCCUUCGGGUUGUAAAACUCUGUUAAUCGAGACGCGGUACCGGAAUAGAAAGCAACGGCUGACUACGUACCAGCAGCCGCGGUAAUAC